rnacentral:piRNA from 1 species
UGAUCAGCCUAUUUAUGACAGAAGGUGUA